GAAACCUAUGUCAGAUCAGGCAUCCCAAACUGCGGCCCCCCCAGCUGCCGCAAAACCACAACCCCCUCAACGCCCUGCUGUAGGCUGAUACCUGUAGGCUGUCCGGGCACCGUGGGAGCUGCAGCCCCGCAACAGCCGGAGGGCCGCAG